UACGUAGGGUGCAAGCGUUUGUCCGGAAUUAUUGGGCGUAAAGAGCUCGUAGGCGGUUCGUCGCGUCGGCUGUGAAAUCCCGGAGCUCAACUCCGGGUCUGCAGUCGAUACGGGCGGACUUGAGUACUGCAGGGGAGACUGGAAUUCCUGGUGUAGCGGUGAAAUGCGCAGAUAUCAGGAGGAACACCGGUGGCGAAGGCGGGUCUCUGGGCAGUAACUGACGCUGAGGAGCGAAAGCGUGGGGAGCGAACAGG
rnacentral:rRNA from 1 species